UUGUGCGCUAUACAGAAACAUGUUAGCCUUGCCCUACAAUUAACUGGGAGAAGCUUAGCACCAAAGGAUCUUGUCUCAAACUUGCGGUGCAUAUCUCAGAAGUUUCGAAAUGCCAGACAGGAGGAUGCUCAUGAGUACAUGGUAAAUUUGCUGGAGUCAAUGCACAAAUGUUGCUUACCUGCAGGAACACCAAGUGAAUCACCUAGUGCUUACGUGAAAAGCUUGGUUCACAAGAUCUUUGGUGGUCGCCUCCGUAGCCAG